AUCUACUGUUUAGUCUCUGCGUCAAUUUGGCAGCUGUCUGCAGAAUCAAAUGUUGUACUUGUUCCUGAGCUAGAGGAAGGAAGUAACGCUGUUACCAAGAAGUGUUCCUGUAAUGGAGUCUGUUUUGGGCGGCCAGGACGGGACGG